rnacentral:rRNA from 1 species
UACGAAGGGGGCUAGCGUUGUUCGGAAUUACUGGGCGUAAAGCGCACGUAGGCGGGUCUAUAAGUCAGGGGUGAAAUCCCGGGGCUCAACCUCGGAACUGCCUUUGAUACUGUAGAUCUCGAGUCCGAUAGAGGUGAGUGGAAUUCCUAGUGUAGAGGUGAAAUUCGUAGAUAUUAGGAAGAACACCAGUGGCGAAGGCGGCUCACUGGAUCGGUACUGACGCUGAGGUGCGAAAGCGUGGGGAGCAAACAGG